rnacentral:rRNA from 1 species
AACGAACGCUGGCGGCGUGCCUAACACAUGCAAGUCGAACGAGACCUUCGGGUCUAGUGGCGCACGGGUGCGUAACGCGUGGGAAUCUGCCCUUGGGUUCGGAAUAACAGUGAGAAAUUACUGCUAAUACCGGAUGAUGUCUUCGGACCAAAGAUUUAUUGCCCAGGGAUGAGCCCGCGUAGGAUUAGCUAGUUGGUGGGGUAAUGGCCUACCAAGGCGACGAUCCUUAGCUGGUCUGAGAGGAUGAUCAGCCACACUGGGACUGAGACACGGCCCAGACUCCUACGGGAGGCAGCAGUGGGGAAUAUUGGACAAUGGGCGAAAGCCUGAUCCAGCAAUGCCGCGUGAGUGAUGAAGGCCUUAGGGUUGUAAAGCUCUUUUACCAGGGAUGAUAAUGACAGUACCUGGAGAAUAAGCUCCGGCUAACUCCGUGCCAGCAGCCGCCGUAA